GGCGGACGGGUGAGUAACACGUGAGUAACCUGCCUUAGACAUUGGGAUAGCCUCGGGAAACCGGGAUUAAUACCAAAUAAAAUCAUAAUGACACAUGUCAUAACGAUCAAAACUCCGGUGGUCUAAGAUGGACUCGCGUCCCAUUAGCUAGUUGGUAGAGUAAAAGCCUACCAAGGCGACGAUGGGUAGCCGGCCUGAGAGGGUGAACGGCCACAUUGGAACUGAGAAACGGUCCAAACUCCUACGGGAGGCAGCAGUGGGGAAUAUUGCACAAUGGAGGGAACUCUGACGCAGCGACGCCGCGUGAACGAAGAAGGCUUUCGAGUCGUAAAGUUCUUUUAUAUGGGAAGAUAAUGACGGUACCAUAAGAAAAAGCCCCGGCUAACUACGUGCCAGCAGCCGCGGUAAUACGUAGGGGGCUAGCGUUGUCCGGAAUCACUGGGCGUAAAGGGUUCGCAGGCGGAAAUGCAAGUCAGAUGUAAAAGGCAGUAGCUUAACUACUGUAAGCAUUUGAAACUGCAUAUCUUGAGAAGAGUAGAGGUAAGUGGAAUUUUUAGUGUAGCGGUGAAAUGCGUAGAUAUUAAAAAGAAUACCGGUGGCGAAAGGCGACUUACUGGGCUCAUUCUGACGCUGAGGAACGAAAAGCGUGGGUAGCAAACAGGGAUUAGAUACCCUGUAGUCCACGCUGUAAACGAUGAGUGCUAAGGUGUCGGCGAACGUCGGUGCCGCAGUUAACACAAUAAGCACUCCCGCCUGGGGAAGUACG
rnacentral:rRNA from 1 species